rnacentral:tmRNA from 1 species
UGAAACUUUAAAAGACUAAGGAUACAGAUUGGUGGUUUUACGCCGUUCUUAUCUCGAAAACUAAGGUAAAACUAAGCGUGUAGAAAGCAUAUUUGUUCCAUGUUUGGACGCGGGUUCGAUUCCCGCCAACUCCACAA